rnacentral:rRNA from 1 species
UACGUAGGGUCCGAGCGUUGUCCGGAAUUAUUGGGCGUAAAGAGCUCGUAGGCGGUUUGUCGCGUCUGCUGUGAAAUCCCGAGGCUCAACCUCGGGUCUGCAGUGGGUACGGGCAGACUGGAGUGCGGUAGGGGAGAAUGGAAUUCCUGGUGUAGCGGUGGAAUGCGCAGAUAUCAGGAGGAACACCAAUGGCGAAGGCAGCUCGCUGGGACGGUACUGACGCUGAGGCGCGAAAGCGUGGGGAGCGAACAGG